rnacentral:rRNA from 1 species
AACGAACGCUGGCGGCAUGCCUAACACAUGCAAGUCGAACGAGACCUUCGGGUCUAGUGGCGCACGGGUGCGUAACGCGUGGGAAUCUGCCCUUAGGUUCGGAAUAACAGUGGGAAACUACUGCUAAUACCGGAUAAUGACGUAAGUCCAAAGAUUUAUCGCCUAGGGAUGAGCCCGCGUAGGAUUAGCUUGUUGGUGAGGUAAAGGACUCACCAAGGCGACGAUCCUUAGCUGGUCUGAGAGGAUGAUCAGCCACACUGGGACUGAGACACGGCCCAGACUCCUACGGGAGGCAGCAGUGGGGAAGUAUUGGUACAAUGGGCGAAAGACCUGACGCAGCGACGCCGCGUGCGGGAGGACGGCCUC